GCGGCGCGGAGGAAGUGCCGUCUUCGCUGCCUCGGCCGCCUCAGGCGCCUCAGGCGCGCCGCGGGUCGCCUCAGCCGCGCGGGCCGCGAUGUCUUCCCGGCCCGGGCGUGACGACGCGCGAGUCGGAGGCGCGCGGCGGCCGCGGGAGUCGGCCGAGCAGGAGCUGCAGCGGCGCCGAGAGCAGAAGCGGCGGCGGCACGACGCGCAGCAGCUGCAGCAGCUCAAGCACCUGGAGUCCUUUUAUGAAAAACCUCCUCCUGGGCUUAUCAAGGAAGAUGAGACUAAGCCGGAAGACUGUAUACCAGAUGUACCAGGCAACGAACAUGCCAGGGAAUUUCUGGCUCACGCACCAACUAAAGGACUUUGGAUGCCACUCGGGAAAGAAGUCAAAGUUAUGCAGUGCUGGCGUUGUAAGCGGUAUGGUCACCGAACAGGCGACAAAGAAUGCCCUUUUUUUAUCAAAGGCAACCAAAAAUUAGAACAGUUCAGAGUAGCACAUGAAGAUCCCAUGUAUGACAUCAUACGAGAGAAUAAAAGACAUGAAAAGGAUGUAAGGAUACAGCAGUUAAAACAGUUACUGGAGGAUUCCACCUCCGAUGAAGAUGGGAGCAGCUCCAGCUCCUCAGAAUGUAAAGAGAAACACAAGAAAAAGAAGAAGAAAGAAAAGCAUAAGAAAAGGAAAAAAGAAAAGAAGAAGAAGAAAAAACAAAAGCAUAAGUCUUCCAAGUUGAAUGAGAGUUCAGACUCGGACUGACAAGGACUUGACCUAUUCCAUGUUCUCCUCUCAAAAAUCAGACACUGUGGCCCCAGACCAGAGGGUGUGGAAUCGGGGAGGACUUGGAGACCCCAAGAGAGCAGGGCAUUCGGUGUCACGCGUGUGAAUUCUCACCUGCCUUCCAGCAAAGACGUGACCCCCGGAGGGGCUGUGAUAGGAUGGAAAAAAUGGAUUCCUACACACUGAUGAGGAAUGACAGCAGAGGCAAAUGAGACUUUAAGAAGACUAAAGGCCCUUCAAGCUCCUUUGAAAAUGGAGAGACCUUCUAUGUCCAAAUGGAAUAUGACUGGCUUAUACACCUUCAACAUGGGGCAUAUAACCUAGACUGAUUAAGGAGACUGGUCCAUAUUCCUGGCUUGAAUUCCAAGUCUGGGUGGAAGGGUCCUCACCUCUUCUGGCUGGCCUGGGAUCGCGGACACAGGGCUGCGCGGCGUUGGGGACCCGGGCAGUGUUGCCCACAAGCCCGGGCCGCAUCUCGCACAAACAAGUCUCGGCUCCCCCACGCAGCAGCAGCAGCACGGAGUGAAGACUGAGGCCAGGAGAGAACUUGCCGCAGCGCCUCGAACGUGACGGGCUGUGCCCAGGAGCUCCACUCCAGGGCCAUCACUUAGGCCUGGCCUGCAGCGCCCUCGUCCUCAGCCUCUCGGGCGUGCCCACCGCGCCCCUUCCCCGGUCCAGAGGAGCCCAUCCCGGGGGAGCCAGCCUCUCUUUACCCACGACUCACACCCCACUCCCUGUCCUGCAAGUCAGUCGCCUCCACUCCCUCUGCACCCAACCCCACCACUCACCGUGUUCGGUACGCCCACCUGCUCUAAGCCAACCUCCACAACCCGGAACGUCCCUGACACCUGGGCCUUGGCUCCCACUUUUAUGGGCUCCGCGCGCUGCGCGGGCCUCCCACAGAUGGCUCACGCAUGCGCCCUGGGCGAGGAUCGGAGCCUGACUGCUCCUCCCAAGGACACCUGGAGAAGCCUUGGAGCAGUUUUCGGCACCAUGCUCGCUCCGGCGCCUGGACGCCCUGGUGUUGGCGCUUCCAGAGGACGGGUCGGUUCCCUGUCCCACUCGCUCUCCCGGACUGUCCCUUCCAUUUGAGUGUGUUCGGUGAAGACAGCUUGUCUCCCCUGCUCUGAGCCCCUGGUCUCCUUCCUUCUUGGGCCUAACACCGCUGACACGAAGGAAGAGGAGCUGACGGAGGAGAAGGAGAGAGGAAGGAGGAGGCUAGCCUGGACCGUGUGGACCUGAAAGUAGGCGAUUCAUAAGGGAGGGGCGCUCCAGCCCCUACCGCUGCGGAGAGUAAAAGCAGGGGUGCAGAGGCUCUGGCAGUUAGGGCGCCCUGGGUUGGGAGAGUGAGGAGCAGAGGGCCUGGGGAAGUCGUCUGUGGGCUGGUACAUGGGCAGCUGGAGAGAGAAGCUGGCACACACGGACUCCGCUUUUUUUUGCAUGGGAAAGAAAGGAAAGGCCUAGGAUCGUAGUUAAUGGGAGUCGUGGGGUUGCAAGGAUUAUUGUGAGUUUUUUGUUUUGUUUUUAAAGCGAGAGAUUUAGGUAUCUGUAAGGCCAGAAUGGAGAGACAGGGAGAUGUUACCUAUAGUGGAGAGAGAAGGGAUGUUAGGAGGAUGUUCUGAGGAAGCACAAGGUGAGGUUAGCUAAGCCUGGUUACAAUGCUUUGCCUCGGACAGAAGAAAGUUACUGAGAUAGGUGGGAAAUGAAGUCUUUGAAAGCAGGAGUGUCAGUGCUUUAGCAUGUGAUGAACUUGAUGUUUUUCUUUUUCUAAAGUUUUUUAUUUUGAGAGAGAGAGAGAGUGUGUGUGUAUGAGGGAGCAAGAGAGGAGAGAGGGAAAGAGAGAAUCCCAAGCAGGCUCCUUGCUGUCAGCACAGAGCCUGACCUGGGGCUCAGUCUCACAAAACUGUGAGAUCAUGACCUGAGCUGAAACCAAGAGUCUGGCAUUUAACUGACUGAGCUACCCAUGCGCCCUACUCUUGAUAUUUUUCAAUGGAGGGCAGAAUAAAGACUUUAAGGGAACAUUGAAAAUUUGGGAUGACUGUGCAUUACCAGGUAAAGUUGUGUUUGAGCAGAAAUACUGGUGCCUGAAACUGGAUAAAGUUUUUUUUUCACAUAGAGAUGGAGAUAUUCCAGGGCAGGUCUGGAAGCGCCUUGCUGUCACAAAGAACCCAGUCUCCUUUCGUUUUGUUCUGCCAUCCUUACAAUGGCUUCCAUCUUCAAAAUGCCACAUGUUCCAAGAUGCUUGUUCCAGGCAGAAAGCAGGGGGUUGAGAAGGGAAAGGGUAAAAAAGAGCACAACAGGACACAGCAGCUUCUCUUCUGUCAUCAGUAUUGCUUUUACGGAGCUUUACUAGAAGACCUACCCAAUUUCAGCUUAUACCACAAUUGCUUCCCAUGGCUGAAAUGAAGUUGUCUUUUAGCUAGGCGUAUUGCCACUUGCAAUAAAUUGAGAUGCUAUGACUAAGGAAGAGAAUGGGUAUUAAUUGAGCUGACAACUAACAAUGUCUGCCAUACUGCUGCAGGGAAGGGAAAAAAACAGUCUUCUACAAACAUGCAAAAGGAUUGCUGGUAGAGUUGAGGGCUGACCUGGAAUGAGGAUCAGUACUUUGUAUUUUCCCUCAUCUGUAGUGGUUUAUCACUUGCUCAGUCAUAUUCAGCUGCUUGGGAGAGACCUUGAAUGAUUGCAUGAAUCCAAACCAAGGACUGUGGUUUUACAGAGCUUGUGGACAGAAGAGCAAGGGUUCAAGAAAGUUCAGUGUCAUGGUGAGAAAUUAAUACAUCAUGACACAUAAUGUAUACCCUGUACUUACAUGACCAUGAACAUGAGUGCCUCCUUAAAGUUUUACCCUAGGUGCCUCACCCCACCCUACUUAGUGGCCUAGUAUAUAGUCAGGAAGAGUAAAGAAGUAAUGUCAGAGGGGAGCUGAUCAAAUGGAGAAAAAAUUAAUGGAAAUCUUUUACAUGACAGGGAGUUGUAGUCAGAGAAUGGACAGUUUAAAUUUAGGAUUUCAGAGUUGGAACUGUUGCUAAUUAUAACAAGGUCCAUCGGGUGAUCAAGUAGUGCUUUCCUCAGAUGCUGUGUGGUGAGAGUCAUUGGCACUGAGGAAGGAAAAGAUCUUGGAAGCUGCAGUUUUGGAUGACUCACCCCCUCCUUCAUAUCGUGGUCAUGUAGAUAGAGGUUUCCUAUGUCCUCAAUGAAUGUGGCACAGUGACCCACAAGGUGAAAGACAGAAGUAUCAGAAGAUGUUUGUAUUUAUAAUUUUAUAAUAUUUUUCUUGAAGACAACCCCCCAAAACUUAUAAUAGUCAGUCCCCAGAAAACUGGGAUUUUCCACAAGCUAGUGGCCAUAUCUCAGUGCAUGAACAGUGAAAGAAAGAAGAACCUCCUUAUGAGGGCAGCUCAGAACAGGAGUGUCCUUGGGAGGAAACAAAGUUCAGCAACUAUUCAGAAAUAGGUUGAGGGAUAUAGUGGGUUGUGUUCAGCCAAACAGGGCUUCCAAGUUACAUAAUCGAGAGGGUUCGUAGGUAGAUCAGCAGGGAGCAGGAUUGAAAUGAGAGUGUUCCAGAAAUGCCAGCUAAUUGGAAGCUUUGGAUUUGAGGCUGUGCUGGAAGAUGUCACAGAUGAAACUACCCAGUUUUGUACUACUUGGUCUGUAGUGGUACUAUCUGGCUCAUAGAUUCCACUAGACCUCUAAUAUAAAAAUGUUUUUGUGCCAACUGAGGCAUUUUGUGUGGGGUGGGGUGUCUGAAGUUAGGUGGUGGUUGCUAUUUUUAUGUUAAGGUCCAGUUAGUGAACUCUGUGUUCUCUGCUCAGGAUUCCAAAUGGGUAUUAUUAUCAUUGUCUCUAUUUUAAGAUGACGACACCUGAGAUUCAGGGAGGUUAAGUAAUCUAACCAUAUAUAUGAAGUUUCAAUCCUAAAUUGGAAGGAGAUUGGGCUAAGGUCUUUGGAUUCCCAGGCCCAGUGCCUUUUCUGUUGCUUGGGCGGUCCCUGUUACUCUCCUUUUGACAGUCUGACAGUCUCUGUCUCAUUAAAGCAGCCUGAUUUAUACUUUCCCCUCAGUUGACACACUGGAUUUUAUAUUGAAAAUUUAAACACCAAGUAUAAUAAUAAUAAUAGUCUUGUUUUCCAUAACUUGAGCUUCCUCUUUAACAUAUUGGUGAGCUAUAAACACAUCAUGGAUGCUCAGCCUUACUAGUGAACCUUCAUUCACUCAUUUCCUCCACAAAUAUUUGAGUACGUACAAAGGGACCAGCACAACUGUAACCCUAAGGAAACAGCAGGGAAGAAAAAAUUAUAAUUCCUAGGAAGUCUACAUUCUUUUGGGAUUUGCAGUGAGAUGCCAUUUAUAACUAUCAGAUUGGGGGGGGGGG